rnacentral:rRNA from 1 species
AACGAACGCUGGCGGCAUGCCUAACACAUGCAAGUCGAACGAGACCUUCGGGUCUAGUGGCGCACGGGGGCGUAACGCGUGGGAACCUGCCCUUAGGUUCGGAAUAACUCCCCGAAAGGGGUGCUAAUACCGGAUAAUGUCUUCGGACCAAAGAUUUAUCGACUUUGGAUGGGCCCGCGUUGAAUUAGCUAGUUGGUAGGGUCAAAGCCGACCAAGGCGACGAUCCAUAGCUGGUCUGAGAGGAUGAUCAGCCACACUGGGAAUGAGACACGGCCCAGACUCCUACGGGAGGCAGGAGUGGGGAAUAGUGGACAAUGGGCGAAAGCCUGAUCCAGCAAUGCCGCGUGAGUGAUGAAGGCCUUAGGGUUGUAAAGCUCUUUUACCCGGGAUGAUAAUGACAGUACCGGGAGAAUAAGCGCCGGCUAACUCCGUG